AACAGGUCUCCAACCUGAUAUUCGUGACUUUCCUGGAAACCUUCCAUGAAACUUACAAUUUGGACCAGGGCAAUGAAAGAUUAAGAUUGUUACAGCAAAAGGACUAUACAUUUUGUUAACCAGAGUUAUAACCAGGAGCUAUUUUAUAGGAGUUAUAUUUCUGAAGGAAAAUUUCUUGCACCUCAUGCAAGAAGCAAAGCUUUUACAACAUAGCAGGCAAACCUGUACACAUAUUGGUUUUUUUUUAUUUUUGUGCCAAGUUAUGACUCCUUUGACCUGAAAACAGAGCAGAGAAGCUGAGCAAAGAAAAUUGCCACAAGAUGAAUUCAUGAACGAGUGCUAUCAUCAUUCUCAAGUAGAGUUGUCUUAAAUUUGAAAAUGUGCCUAAUUUUUAGAAAAUCACAUAAAUCACUAUGAACCGUACACAAAAAUUUGCCUGACAACACCAAUGAACAUGGAAUUCUUCCUCUUUUUCUUUUGCACAAGAAUUUAUGAUUGUAUCUUUUCUUUCAAGUUUCAGAUGAAACCCAGUAGUUCAGAAGAUGAUGAUACGCCACUGAUUACAUUUAAAUGGCUUAACUUUCACUCAUUAUAAACCUAAUAAACUAGUUUUUCUUUAA